rnacentral:tRNA from 1 species
GCUUGGGUGGUUCAGUUAGUUGAGCGUCUGACUUCAGCUCAGGUCAUAAUCUCAUAGUUCAUGGGUUCAAGCCCCAUGUCAGGUU